GCAAGUGUGUUAUUCUGGUGUCAUUGUCACAUUAUACUUUGAUAGCCAUUCUGGCCUCUGCUUUCUUUGCUCCCCAACGGAGUACACCACCACUGCUACACUCUUGGCAUUUUCCCUUCCCUUUUUAUUUUUAUUUUUAAGUCUCACUCUCAUUUUGCCUUUCUCCAAUUCCUUCACUUCACACUCCCUCUAUUCUAAUGGAUGCAAAGUCUGCUGAAGCUGUUGUUCCCUCAGAACCGUUGAAGUAUCAGACAUGGUUGUUGAAAGUUUCGAUCCACUGUGAAGGUUGCAGGAGGAAAGUUAAGAAGGUUCUGCAGAGCAUUGAUGGUGUUUUUACCACAACGGUUGACCCGCAACAGCAGAAAGUAACCGUCACUGGAAGCGUUGGAGUUGAGACGCUGAUAAGGAAACUGGUCAAAGCUGGAAAACACGCCGAGAUUUGGCCGGAGAAUCUCGCUGCCACCGGAAAGGGAAAGAGCUCCUGCAAAGACAAGAUGCAGCGGCAGAACAACAACAACAACAAAGAACAAGGAGAACCAGAAAGCGUGGAAAACAACUCUACUACAGUAAAUGCAGAACCCAACAGUAGAAACACGAGCAAAAAAAAGGGAAUUGAAAAAAAUGCUGAAAAGCGCAACAACGGCGGAAACAAGAGCACCGGAAGCUCAAAGUCCGUCGGCGUAGCCGGAGAAAGUGAGGCAGCGGAACCGGAGAACAAGGGUGGUCAACGUGAAGGAGGUUCUGGGAAGAAAAAGAAAAAGAAAGGUCAAAGUGGGGGUGAGAGAGCAGCAUGUGGUGAUGCACCUGCACACACUGGAUCGGAGGUGCAGUGUUCUGGGCAGGUGAAUCUGAGCCAUACACGUCAGCAAUCAUACAUGUAUCCAGAAAGUUACUGUUAUCCCCCACAGCCACAGGUGUAUCUUGCAACAACCCAGAACAACAACAACAGGUUAUGUCCUUCUUACUAUGUUUCACCAUUGCCCUACAUGUGUGCAGGCUUCGACCAUGACCCUCCUUAUCGCUUUCAAUCUCCACCCUUCGAGAUCUUCAGUGACGAGAAUGCCAACGCUUGUUCUAUUAUGUGACCAAAGAUAAACAACUUGGUGCUUUUUGUUUCUUUGAUGGUCCCAGCUAGAGAGAUGGGAGAUAAGAAGAUACCGUGUCAAUGCCAUCUCCAAAGGGCAUUUCGUUAGGACUGUGGUGUGGCUGUUUCGGCAGCAACAACCAAAUGAGGCUAGAUAGAAAUUAUAAUUGUUAUAAGAGGGGUUGACAUUCGCUUAUUUUAUUCUACAUGAUUUCAGAACUAGUCCAUUUAGCAUCUAAAAACUUGGAUAAGUUUUGUUUGAAAAUGGAUUGCAAAUUGUGCAACUUGGAAGUGUAACAAGA